rnacentral:sRNA from 1 species
AUUAAGCAUAUACAUUAAGCGGGAAAGAACUAACUAGGAUUCCCUCAGUAACGGCGAGUGAAGCGGGACUAGCUCAGGAUGUGAAUCUGCGCUUUUAUGGCGCCGAAUUGUGGUCUGUAGACUUUGACAUUAUUUGCCGGGCCAAGUUCCUUGGAAAAGGACAGCUGAGAGGGUGACACUCCCGUCCGCCUGGUAAAGUGAGUCAUUUGUCAACGAGUCGAGUUGUUUGGGAUUGCAGCUCUAAUUUGGUGGUAAAUUCCAUCUAAAGCUAAAUAUUGGUGGGAGACCGAUAGCGUACAAGUACCGUGAGGGAAAGAUGCAAAGAACUUUGAAAAGAGAGUUAAAGAGUACCUGAAACUGCUGAAACGGAAGCGAAGGAAACCAGUGUUUGUUUGUUCAUAUUUCCCUGGCCACUUGUGGUCUGGGCGCUGUGGACUUGCGUGAGUUUGGGUUGGUUGAUCCCUUUGGAAGAGCGCAGUCAGAGUUGAUGUCUGUUGCUAGCACUGGGUUUGACUGAUGCAGACGAAAUGGUUUUCUUUACCCCGUCUUGAAC